UGGUCAAGUUAUUAAGGGUGCAGGGCGGAUGCCUUGGCACUAGGAGCCGAUGAAGGACGUGAUAAGCUGCGAUAAGCUUCGGGGAGUUGCACGUAAACUUUGAUCCGAAGAUUUCCGAAUGAGGAAACUCACUUAGAGUAAUGUCUAAGUAUCAUUAAGUGAAUACAUAGCUUAAUGAGGGGAACUCAGGGAACUGAAACAUCUAAGUACCUGAAGGAAGAGAAAGAAAUUCGAUUCCGUAAGUAGCGGCGAGCGAACGCGGAUUAGCCCAAACCAAUAAAGUUUUCUUUGUUGGGGUUGCGGACAUAUCAUAACGAAGAGGUAUCGUAAUUGAAGAGGUUUGGAAAGACCCACCACAGAAGGUAAUAGUCCUGUAUGUUAAACGAGAAGACUUCAGAUAUGAUCCAGAGUACCACGGGACACGUGAAACCCUGUGGGAAGCAGGAGGGACCACCCUCCAAGGCUAAAUACUACCUAGUGACCGAUAGCGUAUAGUACCGUGAGGGAAAGGUGAAAAGAACCCCGGGAGGGGAGUGAAAUAGAACCUGAAACCCUGCACUUACAAGCUGUGGAAGCACAUUUCUUGUGUGACCGCGUACUUUUUGUAGAACGGGCCAACGAGUUACGUUAAGUAGCAAGGUUAAGCACUUAAGGUGCGGAGCCGUAGCGAAAGCGAGUUUUAACUGAGCGUUCAGUUACUUGACGUAGACCCGAAACCGGGCGACCUACCCAUGAGCAGGAUGAAGCGAAAGUAAAAUUUCGUGGAGGUCCGAACCCACGAGCGUUGAAAAGCUCGGGGAUGACUUGUGGGUAGCGGUGAAAUUCCAAUCGAGCCCGGAGAUAGCUGGUUCUCCCCGAAAUAGCUUUAGGGCUAGCCUCAAGGUGAGAGAUACGGAGGUAGAGCACUGAAUGUCCUAGGGGGUAUUGCACCUACCGAAGACUAUCAAACUCCGAAUGCCGUCAUCUUAUACUUGGGAGUCAGACUGUGGGUGAUAAGAUUCAUAGUCGAAAGGGCAACAGCCCAGAUCGUCAGCUAAGGUCCCUAAAUGUAAGUUAAGUGGUAAAGGAUGUGGGAUUGCACAGACAACCAGGAUGUUGGCUUAGAAGCAGCCACUCAUUCAAAGAGUGCGUAAUAGCUCACUGGUCGAGUGAUCCUGCGCCGAAGAUUUCCGGGGCUAAAACUUACUACCGAAGCUACGGCAUCAGUAAUGAUGGGUAGGGGAGCUUCCCAUACGGGUUGAAGCAUGACCGUAAGGACAUGUGGACAGUAUGGGAGUGAGAAUGUUGGCAUGAGUAGCGAGAUGUGGGUGAGAAUCCCACAGGCCGUAAACCCAAGGUUUCCAGGGGAAGGUUCGUCCGCCCUGGGUUAGUCGGGACCUAAGCUGAGGCUGAAAGGCGUAGGUGAUGGACAACAGGUUGAUAUUCCUGUACUACCGAUAACCGUUUGAGAGAAGGGAUGACACAGUAGGAUAAGCUAAGCACACUGUUGGUUAUGUGUGCCCAAGCAUUGAGGCAGUCAAAGUAGGCAAAUCCGCUUUGAUAAUGCUGGGAUGUGAUGGGGAGCGAAAUUUAGUAGCGAAGUAGCUGAUUUCACACUGUCAAGAAAAGUCUCUAUCGAGGUUAAAGGUACCCGUACCGCAAACCGACACAGGUGGGUGAGGAGAGUAUCCUAAGGCCAGCGAGAGAACUGUUGUUAAGGAACUCGGCAAAAUGACCCCGUAACUUAGGGAUAAGGGGUGCCACCAUCAGGUGGCCGCAGAGAAUAGGCCCAAGCGACUGUUUACCAAAAACAUAGGUUUCUGCUAAGUCGCAAGACGAUGUAUAGGAGCUGACGCCUGCCCGGUGCUGGAAGGUUAAGGGGAUCUGUUAGAGCAAUCGAAGCAGUGAACUUAAGCCCCAGUAAACGGCGGCCGUAACUAUAACGGUCCUAAGGUAGCGAAAUUCCUUGUCGGGUAAGUUCCGACCCGCACGAAAGGCGUAACGAUUUGGGCACUGUCUCAACAACAGACUCGGUGAAAUUGUAAUUCCGGUGAAGAUGCCGGAUACCUGCGACAGGACGGAAAGACCCCAUGGAGCUUUACUGUAGCUUGACAUUGGGUCUUGGUACUACAUGUACAGGAUAGGUGGGAGGCUUUGAAACCAGGACGCCAGUUUUGGCGGAGCCAUCCUUGGGAUACCACCCUUGUAGUACUGGGACUCUAACCAUAGGCCAUGAAUCUGGUCUUGGGACACUGUCAGGUGGGCAGUUUGACUGGGGCGGUCGCCUCCCAAAAGGUAACGGAGGCGCUCAAAGGUUCUCUCAGUACGGUCGGAAAUCGUACGUAGAGUGUAAAGGCAAAAGAGAGCUUGAUUGCAAGACAUACAGGUCGAGCAAGGAUGAAAAUCGGACUUAGUGAUCCGGUGGUUCUGCGUGGAAGGGCCAUCGCUCAACGGAUAAAAGCUACCCUGGGGAUAACAGGCUUAUCUCCCCCAAGAGUCCACAUCGACGGGGAGGUUUGGCACCUCGAUGUCGGCUCAUCACAUCCUGGGGCUGUAGUAGGUCCCAAGGGUUGGGCUGUUCGCCCAUUAAAGUGGUACGCGAGCUGGGUUCAGAACGUCGUGAGACAGUUCGGUCCCUAUCCGUCGCAGGCGUAGGAAAUUUGAGAAGACCUGUCCUUAGUACGAGAGGACCGGGAUGGACGUACCUCUGGUGUACCAGUUGUUCUGCCAAGGGCAUGGCUGGGUAGCUAUGUACGGAAUGGAUAAGCGCUGAAAGCAUCUAAGCGCGAAGCCAACUUCAAGAUAAGAUUUCCCACCGCAAGGGUAAGACCCCAGAAAGACUAUCUGGUUGAUAGGUCGAAGGUGUAAGUGCAGCAAUGUAUUUAGCUUAUCGAUACUAAUAGGUCGAGGACUUGACCAAU
rnacentral:rRNA from 1 species